rnacentral:rRNA from 1 species
UACGUAGGGUCCAAGCGUUAUCCGGAAUCACUGGGCGUAAAGCGUGCGUAGGUGGAUGUUUAAGUGUGAUGUUAAAUCGUGUGGCUCAACCAUAUCGAUGCAUCGCAUACUGGGCGUCUAGAGGACAGCAGAGGCAAGUGGAAUUGGUAGUGUAGCAGUGAAAUGCGUAGAUAUUACCAGGAACACCAAUGGCGAAGGCAGCUUGCUGGGCUACUCCUGACACUGAGGUACGAAAGCGUGGGGAGCGAACAGG